rnacentral:rRNA from 1 species
UACGUAGGCAGCAAGCGUUGUUCGGAGUUACUGGGCGUAAAGGGUGCGUAGGCGGCUUCUUAAGUCUGGUGUGAAAUCUCCCGGCUCAACUGGGAGGGUGCGCCGGAUACUGAGGAGCUAGAGUGUGGGAGAGGAAAGUGGAAUUCCUGGUGUAGCGGUGAAAUGCGUAGAUAUCAGGAGGAACACCGGUGGUGUAAACGGCUUUCUGGACCAUAACUGACGCUGAGGCACGAAAGCGUGGGUAGCAAACAGG